rnacentral:misc_RNA from 1 species
GAUGAAGAACGUAGCGAAAUGCGAUACGUAAUGUGAAUUGCAGAAUUCAGUGAAUCAUCGAGUCUUUGAACGCACAUUGCGCCCCCUGGUAUUCCGGGGGGCAUGCCUGUCCGAGCGUCAUUGCUGCCCUCAAGCACGGCUUGUGUGUUGGGCCCCGUCCUCCGAUCCCGGGGGACGGGCCCGAAAGGCAGCGGCGGCACCGCGUCCGGUCCUCGAGCGUAUGGGGCUUUGUCACCCGCUCUGUAGGCCCGGCCGGCGCUUGCCGAUCAACCCGAAUUUUUAUCCAGGUUGACCUCGGAUCAGGUAGGGAUACCCGCUGAACUUAAGCAUAUCAAUAAGCGGAGGA